rnacentral:rRNA from 1 species
CCUACGGGGUGCAGCAGUGGGGGAUAUUGCACAAUGGGGGGAACCCUGAUGCAGCGACGCCGCGUGGGUGAAGGAGCGUUUCGGCGCAUAAAGCCCUAUCGGCAGGGAAGAAGGAGGACGGUACCUGACUAAGAAGCCCCGGCUAACUACGUGCCAGCAGCCGCGGUAAUACGUAGGGGGCAAGCGUUAUCCGGAUUUACUGGGUGUAAAGGGGGCGCAGACGGCAGCGCAAGCCAGGAGUGAAAGCCCGGGGCCCAACCCCGGGACUGCUCUUGGAACUGCGCGGCUGGAGUGCAGGAGGGGCAGGCGGAAUUCCUGGUGUAGCGGUGAAAUGCGUAGAUAUUAGGAGGAACACCAGUGGCGAAGGCGGCUUACUGGACUGUAACUGACGUUGAGGCUCGAAAGCGUGGGGAGCAAACAGGAUUAGAUACCCUAGUAGUC